GGUGAACCUGCGGAAGGAUCAUUACCGAUGUGAAAAAAUCCAAGGUUAAACAACAUUAACCAGUGUGAACUGUCAAACAACUCUUUAGGGGUCGGCACAGGCGUGUGUCGUUAAAUGGCGGAUAGGUUCCUUCCGCCAGCCCCGCCAUUGUGUUUAUUAUAUCACUUUGAACGUGAAAGACUGAGAAGGUAUGUAUCAUGCAUGAGAUGUAUGAGAACGAACGAAAGAAAGAAAAAUGAGAGACAACUUUUGACGGUGGAUCUCUUGGCUCACGUAUCGAUGAAGAACGCAGCCAGCUGCGAUAUGUAGUGUGAAUUGCAGAAUUCAGUGAAUCAUUGAAUCUUUGGACGCAAAUGGCGCUCUUGGGUUCUCCCAUGAGCAUGUCUGUCUGAGUGUCGGAUUUUAUCGAACGCACAUGACUUGACUGACUCGUGUGCGGUAUUGAAGUGUCACGGCGUGCUAAAGUUUUUUAAUCGCCGUGUCCCUUGAAGGACAGCAGCAUUGGACUCGCAUUCUCUAUGGAAACUUGAGUACGAAGGCUAAAGAUAAUAUUUUCCUUCGCCCAAAAAUCCAAUAGCAGGACAGUCCUUGCUGAGAGAGACAAACAAAGCGGUGACAAUAAAUAUCAAAAAUCUUGACCUCAGAUCAGGCAAGGCUACCCGCUGA
rnacentral:sRNA from 1 species